GAACAAGCUGUGCCUGGUGGCCCGGUCUUGGCAGGCGGCAGGGGGCAGGCAGAGCAGCACAACUGGCUACUCCAGAAAGCAGGACACCUCAGUGUCCAUCGGUGGGUAGCAGAUAAACACAGUGCGGCCCAGACAGUGGGGCUAUUACUCGGGUGUGAAGAGGGGUGAGGCACCAACACACACUGCAACACAUGUGACUCCUGAGGACGCGAUGUCUGGAGACAGAAGCCAGACACAGAAGGCUCCAGGGGCUGAUCCCAGACCAGCCCGUUCCAGGCCCUGCAGAGGAUGUCCCCCCUCCACCCUUUGGUGGCACCACAUGCUGCUUGCUGAACUCCACCUGACCUUGGACUUGGGAAGGCCAUGCAGCAUGCCUUCUGAAGCCAAGCUGCUCAGAUCCGCCAGCCACAGGAGGAAGCCCAAGUCGCACAGGA